rnacentral:rRNA from 1 species
AGUGAACGCUGGCGGCAGGCCUAACACAUGCAAGUCGAACGGAAGCACAGUAAGAGCUCGUUCUUACGGGUGGCGAGUGGCGGACGGGUGAGGAAUACAUCGGAAUCUACUUUUUCGUGGGGGAUAACGUAGGGACACUUACGCUAAUACCGCAUACGACCUACGGGUGAAAGCAGGGGAUCUUCGGACCUUGCGCGACUGAAUGAGCCGAUGUCGGAUUAGCUAGUUGGCGGGGUAAAGGCCCACCAAGGCGACGAUCCGUAGCUGGUCUGAGAGGAUGAUCAGCCACACUGGAACUGAGACACGGUCCAGACUCCUACGGGAGGCAGCAGUGGGGAAUAUUGGACAAUGGGCGCAAGCCUGAUCCAGCCAUGCCGCGUGGGUGAAGAAGGCCUUCGGGUUGUAAAGCCCUUUUAUUGGGGAAGAAAAGCAGCAGGUUAAUACCCCGCUGUUCUGACGGUACCCAAAGAAUAAGCACCGGUUAACUUCGUG